CAUCUGAAUCAAACACCCAACUCUUGGAACACAAAGUCAAUCACCAAAUCUUAAGACCCCAUCUAAAUCUAAGGUAGCCAGGCCAGUGUCACCUCCCAAAACUCGAUCUCGAAGUGCCACUAAGUCCUCAUCCUCAAACUGAUGGCUGCGAAUCCGAUCCAACAGAGAUGACUGAGCAUCCACAUAAGCUAGUACACACCGG
rnacentral:lncRNA from 1 species